rfam:Erinaceus europaeus unplaced genomic scaffold scaffold00740, whole genome shotgun sequence
CCAAAGGCUCUUUUCAGAGCCACUUAACCAGUCCUUGAAAGAAUUGG